rnacentral:rRNA from 1 species
UACGGAGGGUGCAAACGUUGCUCGGAAUCAUUGGGCGUAAAGCGCACGUAGGCGGCCUGUUAAGUCGGAUGUGAAAGCCCCGGGCUCAACCCGGGAAGUGCAUUCGAAAACUGGCGGGCUUGAAUAUGGAAGAGGGUCGCGGAAUUCCCGGUGUAGAGGUGAAAUUCGUAGAUAUCGGGAGGAACACCAGUGGCGAAGGCGGCGACCUGGGCCAAUAUUGACGCUGAGGUGCGAAAGCGUGGGGAGCAAACAGG